rnacentral:piRNA from 1 species
UUGGAUUUCGGGAGAACGUAGUUAAGGAA